rnacentral:tRNA from 1 species
GCCCACUGUAGCUCAGCGGUAGAGCGCUCCACUGAUUCUUAGGACUAUUGUUAGGACAGGGUCGCGGUUCGAAUCCGCGCAUGGGCA